CAGUCGCGUUUGCCGGGACUCAGCCUUGCUUCUGCUUGGUGCACUUCUCGGUAGAUGGGCCAGCAUCGAUUUCGGAUGCUGGAAAAUGACUUGAGGAAUGUGGCAGCUUGCUGUGUUAUAGCCUCUUGGUGUACACGGUGUCGGGGAUCGAGGACUGCAGCACGCCUUUGGUCGGGGUUCCCCACGCCACGUGCUUAGGAUGCUGGCAAAAUGGCUUUAAACGACCCGUCUUGAAACACGGACCAAGGAGU
rnacentral:rRNA from 1 species